rnacentral:rRNA from 1 species
UACGGGGGGGGCAAGCGUUGUUCGGAAUUACUGGGCGUAAAGGGCCAGUAGGCGGCCAACUAAGUCGGAUGUGAAAUCCCCCAGGCUCAACCUGGGAACUGCAUCCGAUACUGGAUGGCUUGAAUUCGGGAGAGGGAUGCAGAAUUCCAGGUGUAGCGGUGAAAUGCGUAGAUAUCUGGAGGAAUACCGGUGGCGAAGGCGGCAUCCUGGACCGGCAUUGACGCUGAGUGAGCGAAAGCCAGGGGGAGCAAACAGGG